rnacentral:rRNA from 1 species
GACCUCAAAUCAGGUAGGACUACCCGCUGAACUUAAGCAUAUCAAUAAGCGGAGGAAAAGAAACUAACAAGGAUUCCCCUAGUAACUGCGAGUGAAGCGGGAAAAGCUCAAAUUUAAAAUCUGGCAGUCUUUGGCUGUCCGAGUUGUAAUCUAGAGAAGUAUUAUCCGCGCUGGACCGUGUACAAGUCUCCUGGAAUGGAGCGUCAUAGAGGGUGAGAAUCCCGUCUUUGACACGGACUGCCAGGGCUUUGUGAUGUGCUCUCAAAGAGUCGAGUUGUUUGGGAAUGCAGCUCAAAAUGGGUGGUAAAUUCCAUCUAAAGCUAAAUAUUGGCGAGAGACCGAUAGCGAACAAGUACCGUGAGGGAAAGAUGAAAAGAACUUUGGAAAGAGAGUUAAACAGUACGUGAAAUUGCUGAAAGGGAAACGCUUGAAGUCAGUCGCGUUGGUCAGGGAUCAACCUUGCUUUUGCUUGGUGUACUUUCUGGUUGACGGGUCAGCAUCAAUUUUGACCAUUGGAAAAAGGUCAAGGGAAUGUAGCAUCUUUGGAUGUGUUAUAGCCCUUGGUUGCAUACAAUGAUUGGGAUUGAGGAACUCAGCACGCCGCAAGGCCGGGUUUAACCACGUACGUGCUAGA